UACGAAGAGGGCUAGCGUUGUUCGGAAUCACUGGGCGUAAAGCGCACGUAGGUGGACAGUUAAGUCAGGGGUGAAAGCCCGAGGCACAACCUCGGAAUUGCCUCUGAUACUGGCUGUCUAGAGUCAGAGAGAGGUGGGUGAAAUUUCUAGUGUAGAGGUGAAAUUCGUAGAUAUUAGGAGGAACACCGGUGGCGAAGGCGGCCCACUGUCUCGGUACUUACACUGAGGUGCGAAAGCGUGGGGAGCAAGCAGG
rnacentral:rRNA from 1 species